AACGAACGCUGGCGGCAGGCCUAAAACAUGCAAGUCGAACGCCCCGCAAGGGGAGUGGCGCACGGGUGAGUAACGCGUGGGAACGUGCCCUUCACUACGGGACAACGUCGGGAAACUGACGCUAAUACCGUAUAAUGACUCCGGUCCAAAGAUUUAUCGGUGAAGGAGCGGCCCGCGUCUGAUUAGCUAGUUGGUGAGGUAAAGGCUUACCAAGGCUACGAUAAGUAGCAGGUCUGAGAGGAUGAUCUGCCACACUGGGACUGAGACACGGCCCAGAAUCCUUCGGUAGGCAGUAGUUUGGAAUGUUGUACAAUGAGCGAAAGCCUGAUCAAGCCAUGCCGCGUGUGUGAUGAAGGCCCUAGAGUUGUAAAGCACUAUCGUUGGGGAAGAUAAUGGCCGUACCCAAAAGAGAAGCACCGGCUAACUUCGUGCCAGCCGCCGCGGUAA
rnacentral:rRNA from 1 species